rnacentral:rRNA from 1 species
GGGUUGUGAGGUUAAGCGACUAAGCGUACACGGUGGAUGCCCUGGCAGUCAGAGGCGAUGAAGGACGUGCUAAUCUGCGAUAAGCGUCGGUAAGGUGAUAUGAACCGUUAUAACCGGCGAUUUCCGAAUGGGGAAACCCAGUGUGUUUCGACACACUAUCAUUAACUGAAUCCAUAGGUUAAUGAGGCGAACCGGGGGAACUGAAACAUCUAAGUACCCCGAGGAAAAGAAAUCAACCGAGAUUCCCCCAGUAGCGGCGAGCGAACGGGGAGGAGCCCAGAGCCUGAAUCAGUGUGUGUGUUAGUGGAAGCGUCUGGAAAGGCGCGCGAUACAGGGUGACAGCCCCGUACACAAAAAUGCACAUGCUGUGAGCUCGAUGAGUAGGGCGGGACACGUGGUAUCCUGUCUGAAUAUGGGGGGACCAUCCUCCAAGGCUAAAUACUCCUGACUGACCGAUAGUGAACCAGUACCGUGAGGGAAAGGCGAAAAGAACCCCGGCGAGGGGAGUGAAAAAGAACCUGAAACCGUGUACGUACAAGCAGUGGGAGCAUGCUUAGGCGUGUGACUGCGUACCUUUUGUAUAAUGGGUCAGCGACUUAUAUUCUGUAGCAAGGUUAACCGAAUAGGGGAGCCGAAGGGAAACCGAGUCUUAACUGGGCGUUAAGUUGCAGGGUAUAGACCCGAAACCCGGUGAUCUAGCCAUGGGCAGGUUGAAGGUUGGGUAACACUAACUGGAGGACCGAACCGACUAAUGUUGAAAAAUUAGCGGAUGACUUGUGGCUG